UGGGGAAUAUUGGGCAAUGGGCGAAAGCCUGACCCAGCGACGCCGCGUGGGGGAAGAAGUCUCUCGGGAUGUAAACCCUUGUUGUACGGGACGAAGGACGUGACGGUACCGUACGAGGAAGCCCCGGCAAACUACGUGCCAGCAGCCGCGGUAAUACGUAGGGUGCAAGCGUUAUUCGGAUUUAUUGGGCGUAAAGCGCAUGUAGGCGGUUCGGUAAGUCUGGUGUGAAAGCCCUCGACUCAAUCGAGGAAGUGCAUUGGAUACUGUCGAACUGGAGUACAGGAGGGGUGAGCGGAAUUCCAGGUGUAGAGGUGAAAUUCGUAGAUAUCUGGAGGAACAACAGCGGCGAAGGCGGCACACUGGACUGUAACUGACGCUCAGAGGCGAUAGUGUGGGGAGCAAACAG
rnacentral:rRNA from 1 species